CAUUAAGUGUUUGUCCCAUUAUUAAGUAUGCUAUGUGCUCCAAUACAAUUAGGUGGUGCGCUCCAUGUCAAUUUUAUUGCACCACAUGUGGUGCACAAAAACUUGUUCUUAAGAUAUUCUUGUUGUUGUUUGAGCCAAACAGUCGGCUACGGUCCAUUAUUUUGGGUUGUUCAAAUUGUAUACUCCUAUAUAUUUUGGUUAAUAUUUAUCGGGUUCUUUUUUUUGGGGGGGAG
rnacentral:lncRNA from 1 species